rnacentral:rRNA from 1 species
AUUGAACGCUGGCGGCAGGCCUAACACAUGCAAGUCGAACGGUAACAGGAAGAAGCUUGCUUCUUUGCUGACGAGUGGCGGACGGGUGAGUAAUGUCUGGGAAACUGCCUGAUGGAGGGGGAUAACUACUGGAAACGGUAGCUAAUACCGCAUAAUGUCGCAAGACCAAAGAGGGGGACCUUCGGGCCUCUUGCCUUCGGCUGUGCCCAGAUGGGAUUAGCUAGUAGGUGGGGUAACGGCUCACCUAGGCGACGAUCCCUAGCUGGUCUGAGAGGAUGACCAGCCACACUGGAACUGAGACACGGUCCAGACUCCUACGGGAGGCAGCAGUGGGGAAUAUUGCACAAUGGGCGCAAGCCUGAUGCAGCUAUGCCGCGUGUAUGAAGAAGGCCUUCGGGUUGUAAAGUACUUUCAGCGGGGAGGAAGGGAGUAAAGUUAAUACCUGUGCUCAUUGACGUUACCCGCAGAAGAAGCACCGGCUAACUCCGUG